GAACAAGCAAAGUACCAUAUGGUUCGCUGGCCCGAUAUUUGUAAGCCCCGUGACCAAGGAGGGCUCGGGAUCAUGUCGUCCAAAGCGCAUGAAGUUUCCCUGCUCACACGGUGGCUUUGGCGGAUUGCGAAUGGGGAAGGUGGCCUCUGGCUUGACAUCGUCCGGAACAAAUACCUCCGUGAACAACCGCUCGCCUUCUGCUAGCGCACUAGUGGCUCACAGUUAUCGCAGUCCAUUAUACAGCUCCUUCCGAUACUUCGCAUCGGGACCUCCAUCUCUGUGGGGUCCGGCGCAUCGACCCUAUUAUGGUUCGAUUGAUGGGUGGGGGAUCGUUCCUUCGCCGCCAGAUUCCUGGAUUUGUUCUCCAUUGCGGUGGACCCUAGGAUCUUUGUCGAGAUGGCCCUUAUUGACUUAGGACAGCUCGCGUUCCGGAGGCCAUUUGGGCCUCCGGAACUAUUGGAAAUAUGCCCUAGAGGCAAUAAUAUUUGUAUUAUUAUAUUUCCCUAUUCAUAG
rnacentral:rRNA from 1 species